AAGACUAUAGACCUGCGGAGUACCUGCGGAGGGAUCAUUACAUGAUUUGAGGGGGCUCACGUCCCCUCAUCCAACCCACAAACCCCGAGGAACUUUUAUGUCGAGUGGUUCGGCGCUCUCUUUGAGAGCCGCCCCUCAAACGCAUCGCAGGCUUUUCGUGAAGGUCUGAUGUGUCACAUCGUGAGUAUUAAAACUUUUAACAACGGAUCUCU
rnacentral:misc_RNA from 1 species